rnacentral:rRNA from 1 species
AUUGAACGCUGGCGGCAGGCCUAACACAUGCAAGUCGAGCGGAUGAAGGGAGCUUGCUCCUGGAUUCAGCGGCGGACGGGUGAGUAAUGCCUAGGAAUCUGCCUGGUAGUGGGGGAUAACGUCCGGAAACGGGCGCUAAUACCGCAUACGUCCUGAGGGAGAAAGUGGGGGAUCUUCGGACCUCACGCUAUCAGAUGAGCCUAGGUCGGAUUAGCUAGUUGGUGGGGUAAAGGCCUACCAAGGCGACGGUCCGUAACUGGUCUGAGAGGAUGAUCAGUCACACUGGAACUGAGACACGGUCCAGACUCCUACGGGAGGCAGCAGUGGGGAAUAUUGGACAAUGGGCGAAAGCCUGAUCCAGCCAUGCCGCGUGUGUGAGAAGGUCUUCGGAUUGUAAAGCACUUUAAGUUGGGAGGAAGGGCAGUAAGUUAAUACCUUGCUGUUUUGACGUUACCAACAGAAUAAGCACCGGCUAACUUCGUG